UAAGAACCCAGGCACACACAUAUGUCCUU
rnacentral:sRNA from 1 species